rnacentral:rRNA from 1 species
GACGAACGCUGGCGGCGUGCUUAACACAUGCAAGUCGAACGGAAAGGCCCUGCUUUUGUGGGGUGCUCGAGUGGCGAACGGGUGAGUAACACGUGAGUAACCUGCCCUUGACUUUGGGAUAACUUCAGGAAACUGGGGCUAAUACCGGAUAGGAGCUCCUGCUGCAUGGUGGGGGUUGGAAAGUUUCGGCGGUUGGGGAUGGACUCGCGGCUUAUCAGCUUGUUGGUGGGGUAGUGGCUUACCAAGGCUUUGCCGGGUAGCCGGCCUGAGAGGGUGACCGGCCACAUUGGGACUGAGAUACGGCCCAGACUCCUACGGGAGGCAGCAGUGGGGAAUAUUGCACAAUGGGCGGAAGCCUGAUGCAGCAACGCCGCGUGCGGGAUGACGUCCUUCGGGUUGUAAACCGCUUUCGCCUGUGACGAAGCGUGAGUGACGGUAAUGGGUAAAGAAGCACCGGCUAACUACGUG